rnacentral:rRNA from 1 species
CCUACGGGAGGCAGCAGUGAGGAAUAUUGGUCAAUGGGCGUAAGCCUGAACCAGCCAAGUCGCGUGAGGGAUGAAGGUUCUAUGGAUCGUAAACCUCUUUUAUCAGGGAAUAAAGUGCGGGACGUGUCCCGUGUUGUAUGUACCUUAUGAAUAAGGAUCGGCUAACUCCGUGCCAGCAGCCGCGGUAAUACGGAGGAUCCGAGCGUUAUCCGGAUUUAUUGGGUUUAAAGGGUGCGUAGGCGGGCUUUUAAGUCAGCGGUGAAAGGCUGGGGCUCAACCAUAGAAGUGCCGUUGAAACUGGGAGCCUCGAGUAGGUUUGAGGCAUGCGGAAUGCGCGGUGUAGCGGUGAAAUGCUUAGAUAUCGCGCAGAACCCCGAUUGCGAAGGCAGCAUGCCAAGCCAUGACUGACGCUGAUGCACGAAAGCGUGGGUAUCAAACAGGAUUAGAUACCCGGGUAGUC